UACGGGGGGGGCUAGCGUUGUUCGGAAUUACUGGGCGUAAAGGGCGCGUAGGCGGCCUACUAAGUCGGACGUGAAAUCCCUCGGCUCAACCGGGGAACUGCGUCCGAUACUGGUGGGCUCGAAUCCGGGAGAGGGAUGCGGAAUUCCAGGUGUAGCGGUGAAAUGCGUAGAUAUCUGGAGGAACACCGGUGGCGAAAGCGACUUCCUGGACCAAUACUGACGCUCAUGUGCGAAAGCGUGGGGAGCAAGCAGG
rnacentral:rRNA from 1 species